GUAUAGUAUACUUUCUCAAUGGAAUAGUAAUAUUUCCAUUUUCUCCGUUCUUCUUCUCUCGUCUUCAUCUUUCACUCUUCAGAUCUGGAUUGGAAGCUAACUGAAUUUAUCAAUUCGACAGUAACCCUGAAUAAUCCCUUCCUCUCUUGCCCUCCAUUUUCGUUAGCUAACUCUAUUUCGUUCGAAUUCGAGCUAAGAUAUCCUAAUUUUUGCAUGCAUCGCCUUUCUCCUUGGAUGAUUGACUCGUUUGAGUAUGCCGUAAAUAAAAGGUAAAGAAGAGAAAAAUCUGACAUUAUUGUUUUCAUCGCCGGCACCGGAGAGUGAAGAACAGACUGUGCAUAUAGUAAAAGUACUUUUAGAUGUUGUGACAGUCAGAGUUCUGCCAAGUUUUGCCGCGGUUUGCCAUAUCCAGCUCGUUUUCCUGAGUGUUACCUGUACACGUAAAACCAUCUUGCACUGUGACAUGAGAAGUAGUGGAUCACUGAUACAUUUACUAUACUACCAAUCGGAGUCUCUACCCGAGCAGAGUAACUUGGUAAGCCGUAAGAGUUGAAACAUAACCUUCAUGGUCUUACUAGAAACCUUACUUAUCACAGGGCUAUGUUGGUCUCGCAAUUACAGUUCACUGUUUUUAAUCUGUAGCUUACUAUCUCUACAUUUUAUUCCUCCUAAUUAUCUUUCCCUUAAAAAUUUCACAAUGAUCAAUUUCUUUUGAUAAGUAUUCACAGAAUACUAUUUUUACUUUGAACUUAUAGUAUUUUACAUUUAAAAUAAAUAAUUAGAAUGUGUUGCUAAAUUUGGAAAGUCACCAAACCAUAAUUUCUGGUCAUCUAAAGUCAUGAGAUGUGACUGGGACCAGUUGCUGACAGUCCAUGGUACCGAUGUCCUUUACUCCUUUAUAGACUUAUACUGGUGAAUGGUGAUAUAUUGAAUUUUGGUUUGUUUGAGGAAGAAAAAUCCAAAGGUUGUAAAGUAGAGGUAUCAAUUAGAUGUUAUUUUAUUUUUUAUUUUUGUAACUCAUUUAGAGUUGUUAGUUUUUAACUAUAACUGUAGUAGCUAGUUAGUCCUUCAGAAACUGAAAGAUAGCGUGCACUGUGUGAUAUUAUAUGAAUUGUCUUUGCAUUCUAGAUGAUAAUUGUCAGUAAUGAAGCUUUACCACUUCCUAGAGCCAUUAGCGGCCAAAGAGGUUUGGCUUGGACAAUACCCGUUCACAAUGUUCAUUUGUCAGUAUUGUGGUGCAUGUUAAUUGUGUUUCACCACCUCCAAGAUAAUUGUGUUGGCUUAUUCACCCUAAACGAGCAGAAAAAAUUGAAAAAUGAGAAGUCAAUCUGCCAUCUUCUAAAUGAUGAACAUGAAAGGUUUAUGUUUUUCAACUGUGCUUGCUUGCUCAGCCUCAACAUGAACAAAGAUAGAAACCCAAUUUUCUAAUUUCGUAGGCAAUGAGAUCUCAGUUUUAUCCAAAGAUGGGUGGUGGAACCAAGUCAGUUUUGAUUGCCAAUAUGGAACGUUACAAAGGUUGACUUUGUUCUGUAUUAUUUUGCAUAGACAGAAGAUGGUUUCUUUUCCACUUGUGUAGAUUAUCUUCCUAUGGAGGAACAUGUAUCUUUGGCUGAGACAUCAAAAUCAAACUUUAAUAAGGUUUUUAAGGUUGUAUUAUGCAAGUGGAAAAUCUCAUGGAUUCCAACAUGUUUUUUUUCUUCUUUGUCUUUUUUCCUCCGGAAAACAUAAAAAAAAAUGAAGGGGUUGCAUGUCUUGAAUAGGAAGCAAAAUCAUUUGCAAAACAAGUGAUCAAUGUAUAUCAGUUUAUGUAAUUUCUUUAGAUUAUGUAUUCAUUUUCUUCAGCUUGUUAGUUCGUGAACUCCUGUUAAGGACACAAGCAGAAUUUCAACAUAACUUCUUACUAGUCCUGAGUGUGCAAGAUCUGACAAAUGAUUCAAAUCUUAUGGCUUGAAGCAACGAAUCCGCCUGAGGAUGUGCUUUACCAUAUUUGCCUAAACUUUAAAUUUGAAUCUUCCUCCUCUUGGCUAAGCAUCACUAGUCAUUUUUGAUUGAGCCUAGUGGUGGAUUUUCUAAGAGACAAUACUCUACAUCAAUUCCCAAGAAUCAUUUCCUGAAGAAAAAAUAAAAUUUGCCCCACUUACUAUUGGGAGCAAGAAGGAACAAGUCAUAUGGGAAAGGUAGUGAUGGCAACAGGGAAGGAAGUGAGGGUGGCAGAGUUCAUAGCGGGCUUUAGAUUGUUUUUAAGUGUUGCAAUUGGAUGGGAGGAGGAAAGAAAAGAUAAUAGCGCUUUGUCUCCUUUUGCUUUGUUGGGGUGGACCAAACUUUCCAUAAAAAUGUAUCUGCAAGGAGACUGUCACAGUUAUAACACUGAUGUAUUGAUGGUCUGUGGGUGUUUUUAAUAGGCAAAAUCUUAAACACAAAUAAAAAGGGCAGGAUGGAGUAAUGAUUUACGGGUUGCAAUAACACUGGUUAUAUUAGAACUUCACAUAACCAUAAAAUUAUUCUCAAUGCUGCUAUCUACUGCCUCUUUUUAACAGAAAUCAAGUUGGCCCCAACAAUUGAGCUGUCUGGUCUGUUGAAGUUUGGCAAAAUGCCAAAGUCCCACAUUGGUUGGGAGUUAAGUUUGGGGGGGAUUUUUCCCCUA